GCCAGGUGUGAUGAUAUGCACCUGUAGUCCCAGCUACUUGGAGGCUAAUAAGGCAGGAGGAUCACUUGAGCCCAGGAGUUCUGGGUUGCAGUGAGCUGCUUGUACUACUGCACUCUAGCCUUGGUGACAGAGUGAGACCCUGUCUUUA
rfam:Nomascus leucogenys chromosome 25, whole genome shotgun sequence.